UUUCAUCCUUUUAUGAAUUUCCUUUUAGAGUUUAGAACCAGUGGUUCUCUUUUCUUAAUGAGAGCUGUGUAGCUUCCCAAGACCUCUUUAUAUGGAAAGGGUUGGUGUUGGCCAAGCUUUUGUUUAGUGCCCACAUGACCUAGGAAACAGCAGUUUUAAUCAUGUGAUGAAAGGUCAUGGCGCUUUAUGACUGUGAAUCUGAAUUUCUUAUAUCCUGGAGCUUUUGCACUAAGAUUUUUCAAAGAGGUUUGUGGGGACGAGCCAAUUCUAGUUGUUGGCAUAGAUCAAAAUCUGCCUCUGUCAAAAAGUUAUCACUGUGAAUUUUAGGUAGCUUGAAGUGUUUAAAGCUGAAUCAUAAGGCACUGUAGAAAUUUUGCUAAAUGAUGGUGGUGUUUGACUGCCUCAGCACUAGGGCUUAGAUGAUAAGACUUUCUGUAGUUGCCUUGUUUACUCUGUUUUUUCUAGUUAGAAGGGUAACUUUUUCAGGUGAUACGGCUCAGCUUCCAGAGUGGAAAUCAGACAGGUAGCAUAUAGAGAGAAUUCUGCUAGCUGUGUUUAGCUUUACAGAGUAAAGGAGAAGUACAUACAUCAUCAAGAAUUUCACAUUUUU